rnacentral:lncRNA from 1 species
UCAUAACAGUUCAUAGUAAGGAAAGUACACACCACCAUACAUAUAAAGGUUUCAAAAUGUUUACAUAAUUGUAUUUGUUACAUGUUCAAAAGAUAAAUACGUAAACAUCUUUCAAAAGAAGUAAUUAACAUCAGAGCGUUAAUCCCCAAAAGUUGGUUUCCAAACCUACUUAGCGGUUUCCUGAGAAUACAAGUUAUUUUAAAGAAAAAGUGUCAACAAUUAAGUUGGUGAGUUCAUAAGCGGUUUUGAGAAAAUGUAUACCAUUCCAAAGUUCGUGUGUUUUCCAAGAAAAUCCCUUAUUUUCUUAUAAAAGUAUGAAAUGCAUAUGAAUGUUCGUGUCAUGAAUUGUAAAUAGUUGUACCAGAAAAAUCCCUUAUUUUCCUAUUAGUUGAUCGUUUUGGAUACAGGAAAAUCCAUUAUUUUCCUAAAGUAACAGCCAGUCUCUAAUGUCCAAGACCGAAAAUCGCAAGCAACCGACAUGCUAAAAGUUUAAGGCAUAGUUUUAUAUAAUAAAGCUAUAAGAAGAUCGCACUCGUUAGAUGAAGAAUAGUUUUAAUAGCUACCCAUUCAUAAAAGCAUAAUACCAUAAUAAUUAUCUAUCCGGUGAGUUUUAUAACCAUACUAAACAAAAUAUGCUUGUUGUGACGGUCUUCAGGCGCCGAAACGUUAUGACAAACUGUCACCCAAAGGACUGUAGCUAACAGUCAGGGCGCAGGAUCAUGACUUUCGUAUAGAUCUAUACACAUUUGACACGCUCUCUUAAUGGGAGACUCUGGUUAUAAUAGACAGGACUUUAGGUAGUACCUUUUAACAAGAAGGUAGCAUUGAAGAUGUAAUCGUCUCAUGGAUUCUCAACUAAGUAUGUAUUAAAAUAAUAGUUUUGUAUGCAAUGUUUAUCCCCUUUCACAAUGUUUGACAAAGCAUAAAUCAUAAGUUCUUUGAAUGCAUAAAAUGGUUUCACAAGGAUUGCUACCCCGGAUACUAUGCAUUUUGUAUAAAUCUAAUGCAUGCAAAGUAUAACAAGAAUUUUCACGUUUUCACUCGGGAUUAACUGGUUGUUUACUUGUAUUCUCUCCCGAAAUGUAUUAAAAGUACAUUAUAAAGUAUUUGAAGGUGUACAAAAGGGGGUAUGAACUCACUUGAUUGAAGUGGUAGCUUGAAGUUGUCGAGAGAAGAAUCGAGCAGAACUUCGACUAGUGAGAGUUAAAUUCUCGGGAAUCUCGGGUGUGUAGUGUUGGAAUAGUGUCUAAGGCUGUAACUAUGUUAGACAAGUAUUUGAUCCGGUUGUGCAUGGUCCUUUUGGGUUGCCUUCACCAUAGCAACUUGAUAGGAUGAUUUAAUAAGAGAGAGUAAAUAUUAUUAAUAUAUUAUGGGAAUAAUAUAAUGAAUAAUAUAUUGUUAUUUGAUUAAUAUAAGUCAUAGAAUUAAUUAGAAUUAAUUUGGUGACUUAAAGAGAUUAAUUAAAUAAAGGGGUAUAAACUGUCAAUUGUUUGAUAGUUAAACUUUGGACUGUAAAUCCAUUUGGAUAUGGUAUGGACGAAUUCUAAGAGAUUUAGGAUAGCUAAAAUCGUCCAUAUGAUUAUCUUAGGAAUGGAUUUGGAUAGCCUUAAGAGAAGAUUAUCUGAUAGGGACUUAUCUGUAAUCCUUAAGGAGUCUACAAGUAUAAAUAGACCCUAUGGCUGAUGGAAUUCGACACUUGACCUAAAGUAAGGAACCUCUGGUCGAAAUUCCUUCCCUCUCCUCUCUCCUAAAUCAUCUUCCUUGCUAUUGGUGUUUGUAAGCCAUUAGAGGAGUGACAUUUGUGACUCUAGAAGCUCCAAGACCUCAAGAUCAACAAGGAACUCAAAGGUAUGAUUCUAGAUCUGUUUCAAUAUUGUUAUUUAACCUAAAUAGUCAUUAGAAGUCUUGGAUUCAAAGCAUGUUUAAUUAGAAAGCCUAGAUCCAAGCAUUAGGGUUUUGCAUGCGCACAUAGGAAAGUUCUUAUGGCUAAAACCCAUCAGUGGUAUCAGAGCCUAGCUUGGUUUUCUGUAAAUUGUUGCUUGAUUAACUGAAACAAACCUGCAAAAUUCGAAUUUUUGGUUUCUGAGUCAUGGACUCGGCGAGUCUCAAAGUGGACUCGGCGAGUAGGCCUGACUCGGCGAGUCCAUUUGUGCACUCGGCGAGUCCAGGCGUCAGGAAUGGCCAGAUUCGGGAUUUCUUUGUGUUUAUCUUAUCUUAACUUACCAUAAACUAAUUAGAUCAACAUUAAUUCGUUUUUCUGAUAAAUAUAACUAUUAUCUUGAUCUAGUUAAAGGUAAUUAUCAACUAAUUAAAUAUUUAAUUUCCUUAUAUGAUAAUUAAUUAAUUAUUUUGAUUAUUUUGGUAAUUAUCUUUAAAAGAAAUCUUGAAUAAAUCAAAUAUAGAUAAUUAGGAUAUUAAUUGUUAAUUGGAAUUAUUUGUUAUUUGAUCCUCCAUGUUUUAAAUGUUUAAAACCUACCCUCAUGUUUUGAAAUUUACUUUUGUGAUUAAAAGUUUUAAUUUAGACAACUUAAAUUUCAAACCCUAGAUUUUAAAAGUUUUAAAAUACAACCCUAUACUAAUAUGAUAUUACUAGAAUAAUAUAUAUAUGUAUAACUAAAUGCUAGUCUUACCGUUAGUAGGCCUCAUUCACGAAGCCGAUCUAUAAGGUGGGUAUAAGGUUGCGGCCUAUAAAAUGGCGCUUAAUGGGUGUACACUCACACCCACCGCUUGCUUGAUUGGUGGAGGGUCGUUAGCCGAACGGGUAGGAUAGGGCAACCUCAUCCUCUCAUUAAAAGUAUAAUAAGAAAUAUAAAGUAACUACAUAUUUUUUUAAAAUUUCCCAAUCCUAGUUACUUUAGGAAAAGUGAAUUGAUGCAAUCCCAUGAAAUUACACUUUGCACCUUGCUAAGAUGUUAGUGGAGCGUGUGUGGUUUACCGGCACACUAAUUGGUUCUAAGCGAAGGUGGCAAAGGGUGAUUCAUUGUUUAUCAUAGUUCGAUGGAGCGUGUGUGGUUUACCGGCACAUCGAAUAGGUGAUCGUUACAAUGAAGGCACCAUGUGAAUUUGCAUGGUAAUUCACACCCGCUUUGUGAUCCUCGGCAUCCCAGUCACAAACAAGAGGGGCAUAUCGAGAUUUAAACAUGCCAUUGAAUAGUUUCAAUGAAUCUCAUCCGAACCUAGGAAUUCUCAAAAACACUUAGGACUAAUAGUUUAAGUUUUGUGAUGGAGAAUUAGUGAAUCGUCAUUCACUUACCUUCAAUUUAUUUGCAUGUUAGAUUACGGCAUCCCUUUUCUAGUAUGUAAAUGUUAUUGUUGGAUCCUAGCCCUAAUUUUCUUAUUGGGUGAUAAUUAGGGAUUCUUAUUCUAAUCUAUCUUUGUCCUUUUCUAAUUGUAGAUGUCGAACGCAAACAACGCUGCUGCUAGUUCUUUCACGUUGAUGAGCCUUUGCCAAAAGGUCACCUUCGAUGGAACGAACUUUAGCGAAUGGAUAAGAUACAUUCGCACCAUUGCUCGCUAUGAGGAUAAGGAGUAUGUCCUCGAUGAGAAGCUCGAGAAAAUCAACCCCGAAAUUGCUACUCCCGCCGAAAUCACCGCCUUUGAAACUCAUGAGCGAGAUGCAACGAAGGUACAUUGCAUCAUGAUCGCCACCAUGAACUCCGAAUUCCAAAAGUCCUACGAGGACAUGUACCCGUACGAGAUGCAUCAAGACUUAUUGGAGAGGUACCACCAAAACGCGAGACAAGAGAGGUACGAGAUUUUCACUAACAUGAUUUCCGCGAAGAUGGGUCAUGGAGAAUCUCUUACCGUGCACUUGCAAAAGAUGCAAAGGUAUGUUGACCGCCUCCGCAAGUUAAAUGUUGACUUCGGUGAAGACUUGGCGAUCGACAUGGUGCUUCACUCUUUGCCUCCGAUGUACAACCAAUUUAGGAUGACCUACCACAUGAACAAAGAAGAGGUCACCCUAAGCAAGCUCCAAGGUCUCUUGAGGGUUGCUGAGAGCAACUUCAAAGACAAGUCUGUUGCACCUACUCCCAAUCCGCCCGCUGCUCCUGUCUUGGCUAUUGGACAAGGGAAGGGAAAGAAGAGGAAAGCUUCAUCGAAGAACUAUCGCAAGGUGAAAGCCCGAGAUGGUGCCUCUUCUAGUGGGACCAAAGUUGAUCCCGCCAAGCCCUGCUCUAACCCGAAGGAGGCAGAGUGCCACCACUGCCACAAGAUAGGACAUUGGAAGAGAAGCUGCCCGGAUUACCUGCAAGCAAUCAAAGAAGGAAAGAUCAAGCCAUCUUUCGCAGGUAUAUAUACAAUCAAAUCUAACGAUUCUAAUCAUGCUAUUUCUUGGGUUCUUGAUACCGGUUGUGGUUAUCACAUUUGUUCUAAUGUGCAGGGACUAAGAAGAAGUAGGGAUGUGGAGCAAGGAAGGAUCAAUCUAAUCAUGGGGAACAGAAGAUCGUCGCCUGUGACCAAGAUUGGAGUGUAUUCCUUAGUGCUUAGGAAUAGUUUAGUUUUAGAUUUGAACAAUUGUUGCUAUUCGCCAGAAAUGGCAAGAAACAUCAUUUCAUUUCAUGGUUUAUAUAGACAAGGAUUUAGAUUUUCUUUUAAUAAUGAGAAUGGUUCUAUUUUGGCUUAUCUAAAUGGUGUCUUUUACUUUGAAGCUAUACCAUGUAAUGGAAUAUAUGAAACCGUUAUGAUUGUUGAUAACUUAGGAAAUGAUGUUUUGAAUAUUGAUUCUUCCACUAGUAUGGAUAAAGCAUCCUUGUGGCAUUGUCGUCUUGGACAUGUCAACAAGAAACGCAUAGCCCAACUCCAAAAGGAUGGAGUGUUGGAGUCAUUCGACCUUAGGGAAGAUGACACAUGCGAGUCUUGUUUGCUUGGAAAGAUGACUAAGUCACCCUUCACGAGUACAUGUGAAAGGGGCGAGGGUCUAUUGGACCUAAUACAUACCGAUGUAUGUGGACCGUUUAGAUCAACCACGAAGGAUGGGAACCGCUUCUAUGUGACUUUUACCGAUGACUAUAGUAGAUAUGGGUAUAUCUACUUAAUCAAGCAAAAGUCAGAAACCUUUGAAAAGUUCAAAGAGUUCAAGAAUGAAGUGGAGAAUCAAUUGGGCAGGAAAAUCAAGAUGCUUCGAUCCGAUCGAGGAGGAGAGUACCUAAGUCUUGAAUUCCACGAUUAUCUCAAGGAGUGUGGAAUAGUUUCGCAAUUGACGCCUCCUAGGACACCGCAGUUGAAUGGUGUGGCAGAAAGGCGUAAUCGAACCUUAUUGGAUAUGGUUCGCUCUAUGAUGAGUCGUGCUUCACUACCUAUCUCUUUUUGGGGGUAUGCCUUAGAGACUGCCGCCCAUAUCCUUAACCGAGUCCCUACUAAGAAGGUUGCCAAAACACCUCACGAGAUGUGGACAGGGAAAGCUCCCUCGUUGGCACAUAUCAAGGUUUGGGGUUGCGAGGCUUUCGUAAGACGAGAUACUCACGACAAGCUUGAACCUCGAAGUGAGCGAUGUAUUUUCAUCGGCUACCCGCAGACAUCCUUUGGAUAUCUCUUCUAUAGACCGAAGGACAAUGUUGUCUUCGUUGCGAGGAGAGGAGUUUUCCGAGAGCGAGAACUCAUAAGCCAAGGAGACAGUGGGAGGCAAAUCGAGCUUGAAGAGAUUCAAGAGUCGAUAGAUGAAGGAACCUCUACCGCUGGCACUCAACCCGAGGAGGAAACUCCGGUUGAACCGAUUGACGAAUCCUUACCUCUUAGACGUUCCGAUAGAGUUAGAGUUCAACCCCAGUUUUAUGGUUUUCAUAUUACUACCGAAGGGGACACGUAUAUUAGUGAUGGUACACUAAUAAAUCUUGAUGAACCUAAUAGCUAUAAGGAAGCCAUGGCAGGCCCGGAGUCUGCAAAAUGGAAAGAGGCAAUGGAUAGCGAGAUCCAAUCCAUGUAUGAUAACCAAGUUUGGAAUUUGGUUGAUUAUGUGCCCGGACGUAAGACCGUUGGGUGCAAAUGGAUCUUCAAGAAGAAGACCGACGUGGAUGGAAACGUACACACAUAUAAAGCGCGAUUGGUUGCGAAGGGCUUUACUCAAACUCCCGGAGUUGACUAUGAUGAGACCUUCUCACCAGUUGCGAAGAUUAAAUCUAUUAGAGUGAUGCUAGCAAUUGCCGCAUUUCAUGAUUAUGAGAUUUGGCAAAUGGAUGUCAAGACCGCUUUCCUUAACGGAAAGUUGGCUGAGGAUGUUUACAUGGCUCAGCCAGAGGGGUUUGUGGAUCCGAAGCAUCCGAAUAGAGUGUGUAAGCUUGAGAAGUCCAUUUAUGGACUUAAGCAAGCGUCUCGCAGAUGGAAUCUUUGCUUCGAUGAGAAAGUCAAAGAGUUUGGAUUUGUACGAAGCGAAGACGAAUCUUGUGUAUAUGUCAAAGCCAGUGGGAGUAUAGUAAGCUUCCUCGUUCUAUAUGUCGAUGACAUAUUACUCAUAGGAAACGACAUCCCGACUCUGCAGGAGGUAAAGUCCUGGCUCGGGAAGUGUUUCGCUAUGAAGGACCUCGGAGAGGCUUCUUACAUUUUGGGAAUAAGGAUAGUAAGAGAAAGAAGUAAGAGACUAAUUGGACUUAGUCAGAAUACUUACUUAGAGAAGGUACUAAAACGUUUUAGUAUGGAAAACUCAAAGAAGGGAGAACUACCGAUACAAAGUAAUGCCAAAUUGAGUAAGACUCAAAGUCCGAGUACCGAAGCUGAGAUAGCAGAAAUGAGCCGAGUACCAUACGCUUCCGCAGUUGGCUCAAUCAUGUACGCUAUGACUUGUACUCGCCCUGAUGUAGCCUUCGCUUUGAGCAUGGUUAGCAGAUAUCAAGGGAAUCCUGGCAAAGCACAUUGGAUUGCGGUGAAGAAUAUCCUUAAGUACCUUCGGAGGACGAAGGAAUGGUUCUUAGUCCUCGGAGGGAGUGAUGACUUGAAGGUGCGAGGGUAUAGUGACGCCAGUUUUCAGACCGACAGGGACAACUACCGUUCGCAGUCGGGCUGGGUCUUUACCCUAAAUGGAGGAGCAGUGACAUGGAAGAGUUCCAAGCAGGAAACCGUAGCUGAUUCAACGUGCGAAUCAGAGUACAUUGCAGCGAGCGAAGCGUCGAAGGAGGCAAUAUGGCUAAAGAACUUCAUCGGUGAUCUUGGAGUCGUACCUGCCAUAAAGGAGCCAAUGGAGAUUUUCUGUGAUAACGAAGGUGCGGUUGCCUUGACCAAGGAACCGAGGGAUCAUGGUAGAUCAAGACAUAUCGACAGAAAAUAUCACUUCAUUAGACAUCGUGUAGAAGAAGGACAACUCGUAGUGAAGAGGAUAUCAUCAGAAGAUAACCCAGCAGAUCCGCUUACGAAGGGACUGAGUAGGGUUAAGCACUUGCAGCAUGCUAGGAGUAUUGGGCUGAAGGAUGAUAUUAGCAUAGAUUAGAUAGUAUUAGAAACGUGUAAUAGAUAAAUGUAAUUGACAUUUGAUGAUUAAAUAAAGGAGUUUUAUUUAUGAGUAAUGUUACUAUCUUAUGUUAAUUGUUUAGCUAUUGUUUCACUUUGCAUGUUUUGACUUCCAGAAUAAUUGAGUUUAUUAGGAAUAAUCGAAUUAUUCAAAUGGUCCACAAUCGUUCAUAUGUUGGGAGUAGAUAUGAAAGAAGAUUGUCAUGAAUUGGUGUGUAGAAUGUCUAAAUGGUGUUAGACAUAGCAAAGGAUUGCUGCAACGUUCAUGAGUGCUUAUGAACUAGUUUUGAGCAUUGGAAUAAACCCACGCUUGCUGGAAUCACCUUAUGGAAUACGAUAUAAAAGGUGAUCGCAAGACGAUAAUAUCAUAUAGUCUUAAAACCUAGAUAUAUGGUUUAUUAUUUGUUAAUUGAUUGUACAUUGAUAAUACGAAAACGCAUCAGUAACUUGGUGUUAUAAAACGUAUUGUUGUGUAUAGUUGGUUAAUGAAUAAGUAAAUGCAUAUAAGUCGAAGUUUAUCUGUAACUUUUAUCUAAGAAGGUAAAAGCGAUAUCUCGGCCGCUCGAUGAUUUGAUUUGACUUAUGUGCCGGGCCCGGUCAGAACUGAAUUGAUGUGUUCGAUUAAGUUCUAUGUCAAAUAAAUCAGAGAUCGAGAAACCUAAAUGCUUGACUAACCAUUCCAUAGGAUUGUCAGCAUGAUAUCUAACAGAGGACUGUACGUUCCCUUAUCUAAAGGACAAGAUUGAUUAGAUCAGAGUUUGACAGCGUCUUUGAGAGCUACGAUUGCAAACCGAAUUGUACUUGUAUAGUUACUAGACUUAUCCAAGUGGGAGACUGUUGGAAUAGUGUCUAAGGCUGUAACUAUAUUAGGCAAGUAUUUGAUCCGGUUGUGCAUGGUCCUUUUGGGUUGCCUUCACCAUAGCAACUUGAUAGGAUGAUUUAAUAAGAGAGAGUAAAUAUUAUUAAUAUAUUAUGGGAAUAAUAUAAUGAAUAAUAUAUUGUUAUUUGAUUAAUAUAAGUCAUAGAAUUAAUUAGAAUUAAUUUGGUGACUUAAAGAGAUUAAUUAAAUAAAGGGGUAUAAACUGUCAAUUGUUUGAUAGUUAAACUUUGGACUGUAAAUCCAUUUGGAUAUGGUAUGGACGAAUUCUAAGAGAUUUAGGAUAGCUAAAAUCGUCCAUAUGAUUAUCUUAGGAAUGGAUUUGGAUAGCCUUAAGAGAAGAUUAUCUGAUAGGGACUUAUCUGUAAUCCUUAAGGAGUCUACAAGUAUAAAUAGACCCUAUGGCUGAUGGAAUUCGACACUUAACCUAAAGUAAGGAACCUCUGGUCGAAAUUCCUCCCCUCUCCUCUCUCCUAAAUCAUCUUCCUUGCUAUUGGUGUUUGUAAGCCAUUAGAGGAGUGACAUUUGUGACUCUAGAAGCUCCAAGACCUCAAGGUCAACAAGGAACUCAAAGGUAUGAUUCUAGAUCUGUUUCAAUGUUGUUAUUUAGCCUAAAUAGUUAUUAGAAGUCUUGGAUUCAAAGCAUGUUUAAUUAGAAAGCCUAGAUCCGAGCAUUAGGGUUUUGCAUGCGCACAUAGGAAAGUUCUUAUGGCUAAAACCCAUCAUGUAGAACUUCCUUCGGAUCUUGAGUAUGAAAACCGGGGUGUCAGGAUGGCUUCGAGUGGAAAAACGCAGAGCAAAAUCACGGGAAAAGAGAAGAACUGAACAAAAAACUCGGAACCCUAGCCUCCCUUUUAUAGGAGGCUGAACCGCCUCCAUACGCUGGGCGUAUGCUCUUAUGCGGGGCGUAGCGUACGUCAAUGCUUUCGUCAGCCUCCUGAAGGACGAUGGGAUGUCUGCUGCUGAAGGGACUACGCCCUUAUCACUUGGUACGCUGGGCGUACCCCUUUACGCUGGGCGUAAAUCGAUUUCCAGAAUUUCUAAAUUUCGUAACUCCUGCGUACGAGCUCCGUUUCUGGCAUUCUUUAUAUCCACGCGUAGGUGAGACUGUACUCUACAACUCCCAUUUAGACUCUGUCGGCUAGCUUUGACUUUAUAUUUAUUAUAUUACUUUUAGUAGACCGGGUCAGGAAAAGUUCGUUUAAAUUCCAUAACUUCCACAUACGAAGUCAGAUUUGGGCGUUCUUUUUAUGUAUGUUCGCGGUUUAAUGAUAUCUACGACUUUCAUUUUGAUACCUAAGGCUAAAAAGUAUUUUAUUGAAAUUUCUAGUUUUAUGUUUAACAACGCUUUACCGGUAGUGUUACGAAUCUUUGAUUGGUCAUAACUCCUUCGUUAUAACUCGGAUUUUAGUGUUCUUUAUAUUUUUGAAAACCUUAUCACGAUAUCUACCACAUAGUGUACUCAAACGGAGCUUUUUGAACAUUUCAUUUUCGAUGAUAUUCUUAUUACUUCACAAAGAGAUUACAAGACUCGAGCUUUAGACAUUACAUUGACCUAAAAUAACGGGUUGUUACAUCAUCCCCCUGUUAGAGAGAAUUUUUUCCCGAAAUUAAUUAUGAAAUAAGUGCCAAUGGACUAGGGAAGAGAUGCGGGUACUUUUUUUGCAUCUGAUCUUCUGGCUCCCAAGUGAAUUCAGGUCCUCGCUUAGCAUUCCAGCGAACCUUCACUAUUGGUAUGCGACUCUGUUUAGUUCGUUUGAUUUCCCUAUCCAUUAUCUCGGCAGGUUCUUCCACAAAGUUAAGAAUUUCGUUAUGUUCGAUUUCAUCGAGUGGAAUCGCAAGAGUUUCGUCGGAAAAACACUUUUUCAGGUUCGAUACGUGGAACACUAUAUGUACUUUGUUAAGCUCGAUUGGAAGUUGAAGUCUGUAAGCCACUGGACCAAUCCUUGAAGUAAUUUCGAAGGGUCCAAUGUACCUUGGAUUUAGUUUUCUACGCUUCCCAAAGCAUAUCAUGCCCUUCCAGGGUGAGACCUUCAGUAGAACGUGGUCAUCAACCUGGAAUUCCAAGGGUUUUCGUCUUUUGUCGGCAUAGCUCUUUUGCCUAUCCCUAUAGGUUUUUAGACGCUCUCGAAUUUGGACGAUCUUUUCAGUUGUUUCCCUAAUGAUCUCCAGGCUGGUGACAAUGCUAUCAGGGACUAGACCCUUUUCCAACUGUGUGUCGCCCACUUCCGUCCAGCACAGAGGUGAUCUGCACUUACGGCCGUAAAGGGCUUCAAAUGGAGCAGUCUUGAUACUAGUAUGAUAACUGUUGUUGUAAGAGAACUCGACUAAUGGUAAGUGUACAUCCCACGCUUUACCAAAGUCAAUUACACAUGAUCGCAACAUGUCUUCUAGACUUUGGAUCGUUCUCUCACUCUGUCCGUCAGUUUGUAGGUGAUAGGCUAUACUCAUAUCCAACCUUGUUCCCAUAGAUUUUUGCAACAAUUGUCAGAAUCUGGAAGUGAAUCUACUAUCUCUGUCCGAGAUGAUAGACAUCGGCACUCCAUGAAGUCGCACGAUCUCUCGGAUGUUGCUUCUCUUUAGCUUUUCCAUCUUAUCAGUUUCCUUGAUCAGUAAGAAAUCAGCAGACUUGGUUAGUCUGUCGACGAUCACCCAAAUGGUAUCGUGACCAUCCUAAGUCUUGGGUAGUUUUGUUAUGAAGUCCAUGGAAAUCUGUUCCCAUUUCCACUCAGGUAUUUCGGGUUGAUGGAGUAGACCUGAGCGCAUUUGGUGUUCUACUUUUAUCUUGGCGCAAGUCAAGCACUUGCUCACAUAGGUAGCAAUUUUUGUUUUCAUGUUUGGCCACCAGUAGAGUUUUUUGAGAUUCAGAUACAUCUUAUCUGAACCUGGGUGUACGGAGUAUGGAGUCUUGCGUGCUUCGUUCAUAACUAUCUCUCUAAACCCACCAAACUUUGGUGUCCAGAUUCAGUUCAUCAGGUAGCGUACUCCGUCACUCUUGAUCUCUAGAUUCUUGUCCAUCCCUCUAAGGGUUUCACCUAUCACAUUUUCGGGUUUCAAGGAUUCUAUUUGAGCUUCCUUGAUCUGUGUCGACAGAUGCGAAUGGAUCAACAUGGUUAAUGACUUCACUCUUCGACCAGAGUACUCCUUACGACUAAGGGCAUCAGCCACCACAUUCGCCUUUCCCGGAUGGUAACGAAUCUCACAUUCGUAGUCGUUGAGCAAUUUGACCCAAUGUCGUUGUCUAAUGUUUAACUCCUUCUGGUCGAAUAUGUGUUGAAGGCUCUUGUGGUUUGUGAAGAUAGUGCACUUGGUACCGUAUAGGUAGUGCCUCUAGAUUUUCAGAGCGAAGACCACUGCUCCAAGUUCUAAGUCAUGAGUGGUGUAGUUGACUUCAUGUGUUUUCAAUUAUCGUGAGGCAUACGCAAUAACCUUUCCUCGCUGCAUUAGCACACAACCCAACCCUUGAUUCGAAGCAUCGCAAUACACCACAAAAUCUUCGAUCCCCUCUGGACGAGAAAGAAUGGGUGCACUGCGCACGACCUAUUUCAGAGUCUGAAAUGAAACAUCUUGCUUUUCUCCCCGGUUGUAGGUCACACCUUUCUGAGUUAGGGAGGUAAGAGGCUUUGCGAUGCUGGAGAAGUUCUGAAUGAACCUUCGAUAAUAACCACAAGGCCUAGAAAUUGGCGAAUCUCCGUUGGUGUAGUUGGUGCAGACCAAUUUUNGCCUUGAUUUAGAUGGGUCCACGUGGAUUCCUUCUUCGCUGACCACGUGACCUAGGAAGUCCACCUUCCUAAUACAAAACUCUCAUUUUGAGAACUUCGCAUAAAGUCUCUUAGCUCGUAAUGUCUUUAAGACUUGUCUUAAAUGUUGACCAUGCUCUUCUUUACUCUUUGAAUAAAUAAGUAUGUCAUCUAUGAAUACUAUCACAAAUUUAUCCAAUAAUGGACGACAUACCCGAUUCAUUAAGUCCAUGAAAACGGCAGGGGCAUUGGUUAGUCUGAACGGCAUCACUGCAAACUCGUAAUGCCCGUAUCUUGUUCGGAAGACCGUCUUGGGAAUAUCACUCUCCCGGACUCGCAGCUGGUGAUAUCCCGAUCUCAGAUCGAUCUUGGAGAAUUAGUUGGCUCCUUGGAGUUGGUCAAAUAAGUCGUCGAUUCGUGGUAGGGGUAUCGGUUCUUAAUGGUAAGUUUGUUGAGCUCUUGGUAGUCGAUGCACAUCCUAAAUGAUCCAUCCUUCUUUUUCACAAACAACACUGGUGCUCCCUAAGGCGAGAAGCUCAGCCUGAUAAAUCCUUUGCUGAAUAGCUCAUUCAGUUGGCUGGAUAGCUCCUGCAUCUCCGCUGGGGCUAAUUGAUAGGGCGCUUUGGCUACCGGGGUAGCUCAGGGAAUCAGAUCGAUUCUGAAUUCGACUUGUCUCGCGGGUGGUAUUCCUGGAAGAUCUUCGGGAAAAACAUCAAGAAACUCGCAUUCGUCAAGCAUGCUCUUGAUCUCAUGGACUUCGCGUUUCACAUCCACGACAUGUCCUAAAAACGCAUGGCAUUCCUUGCAUAGGCACUUUUGCGCUUGGAUACACGAGAUAAUACGAAGAGUGGUACUGGGUUUUUCGCCAUAGAUAAUGAGGGUUUCGCCGGUUGGCAGAUUAAGGCGAACGCCUUAUCGUAACAUAAAAUUUAUGCAUGAUGAGAACUCAGCCAAUCCAUGCCUAUGAUGACAUCGAAACUCUUAAUCGAGACUGGCAUGAGGCAGAUUGGAAAGGGAUUAUUGUUUAGAGUUAGUGUACAGCUUAAGUAUAUCUCCUUAGUGCCUUCUAUUUUACGGUUGGUAAUUUCUACUAUAAACGGUUCACUUAAUGAUUGGGGUGUUUGUUUCAGCAGGCCCUUAAAAUUAUGACUCACAAAACUCCUCUUCGCUCCACUAUCAAAUAAAAUGCAUGCAUACGAGUUAUCGAGAAGAAAUGCACCCGUAACAACAGUGGGGUCUGCAACGGCUUCAUCUUGUCCCAUUUCAAACACUCGGCCCCUUCCACCGGUAUUCCUGUUGUUUGCCUUCUGGCAGUCCCUGCGGUAGUGCCCCGUGGCUCCGCACUCAAAGCAGGCGCGACUUACUCCGGCAUUUGCAGUGGGGGCGGCUUGUUGGGCUGGCUCCUUGCAGAAGCAGACCGUAUGCCCCUUCUUAUUGCACCUGGUGCAUUGGAAGUCACUGCAAGGACCGUGGUGGUGGAAGUUGCAUUGGUUGCAAUUCAGAAAUCUCCCACUGUAUGAACUCGUAGGUGCAGUGGUGGUAGGAACAGUAACAGUGUGAGCCGCUACCCCUUGUUGUUUCUUGGGGUUCCCCUAUAGGUUUUGCCCCAUUCUCUUGUUCCAAGGCCUUCCCUGGCCAUAUACCUCCUUUGAUGGAUCGGCAGUAGCUGCAAUAGUACCCUGCUUGACCCCGUGGUCGAUGAGUCACUGAGACAGGUGCUUUGCGUUGCUGAAAGUGAUAGGGUUGGAGGCCAAGACGUGACCUUGAAUCUGGGGUGACAACCCCCAAAUGUACCUCUCAACCUUUUUCGGUUCUGGGUUGACCAUGGUAGGGCACAAGGCAGAAAGGUCACUGAACCUGGCCCUAUAGGCUACUAGGUCAGACCCAGUCAUCUUCAGAUUCUAGAGCUCCUGCUCUAGCUUUUGUAUCUCGCCCCUUGGGCAGUGUUUGUCCAGUAGUAGGACCUUCAAGUCCUCCCAACUUAUGGCGUUGGCGACGGUGAGAGUCACGGACUUCACAUGGCUUUUCCACCAGGUGAGGGCUCGAUCAGUGAGGGUGCAAACGGCGAACUUGACUAUGCUCGCUUCUUGGCAAGAGCAGAUCUCAAAGACCGUUUCGGUCUUUUCGAACCAUUGCAUCAGUGCAAUGACUCCCAAUGUGCCAUUAAAAGUUUUUGGAUUUGCAUUGGAGAACUCCUUGUAAGUACAUUCCCUUACAUGACCAUGACCAGUGCCAUGGUCAGAAUGAUUCGUGUUGCUUUCUGCCCCUCCAUUUCCGUUGGAGUUUAUUUGCGAGAGGGCAGCGGUUACUGCUGCUGUGAUAGCAGCCUGGACCAUGGCCGGAUCAUAAGCUAGUGGUGGAGGUUGUGAUGGUGUCGUGCCCGGUCUGGGUCUUAGGUUUGGACGAGGAGGCAUCGUGCUGCCAAGAAUUAAAAAUGAAAGAUUAUUAGUUUUGGUGGUUGAGGAUUGAAUGAUAAUGAGUUAACUAUCUUUAAUAGUUCAAGAAUUUGGUUUGACCUACACAGGGCUUUGAGUUUGAUUCACAAAUGGAGUUUGAAUAGCAAUAGAUAAACUGAUGAACUCGAAUGAAAUGCAAAUAAUUAACACACGAAAGAGAUAUGCCCUAUAUAUAUAUAUAUAUAUAUAUAUAUAUGUAUAUGAGNUGCACAUAAUUAACAUACGAAAGAGAUAUGCCCUAUAUAUAUAUAUAUAUUAAACAUAUGGUUGCGUUACAUCCGAAGUUAGAAAAAAAAUUGACCUUUUUAAAGGUCUCCGAUUACAGAAAGUUAUAGAAAGUAAGACUUUUAGCCGAUGGUCCUAUUCUAUAUCAAAAUUUGGGAGUUAGGUGAGCACUACUCGCAGUGCGGAUUGCGCUUGGAGCUUGACUCCGCAUCCGAUUGCUUGGCUCCCAUGAGACGCCUGUCAAAGGCAGCUUGUUGCUCCCUCAAAUCCAUCAUUUCGGAGAGCGCUGCAGUCAUUUGCUCCUGGAGGAAGUUGGUGUGGAGUUGAGCAUUCCCUUGUAGCAUGUCUAGACGACGGAUAUCAGCUGCGUUAUCCUCCAUACUUAUGUCAACCUCAUGAAUCUGGUUUUCUUGGACUCCGGAUUGAUAAGCCUGAUUGGCAAGUUUGCCUACCAUAACUGGGAGUUCUCGAUUAGCUAAACUUCCUCCGCUGACAUCGUAGAAGUCCCGACACAUACCGUAAGGAGGACGCAGUCCUUGCUGCUGGCUCCAAUGGUGGAUGUGGCUUCCCCAGACGGGAGUUGGUCCUUGAAAUCCCAUCCUGAAAGGAGGUCGAAUGGAUGGAGGUCGGGCGGCUGGUAUAUUGAUUACCUUAGGCUCUGAGGCUGAGCUAUAUGAAUCUUCCUCCUCCUCAUCUUCCAUGGGUUCUUCCUCGGGGUCGUCUUCAAUCCAUCCCCCAUUACCUUGGUUGGGGUAGUAGGGGUCGUCGGGGUGAUGGAAUCCAGCCAUUGAGUUUAUACGAGAAUAGGGUUAAGAAUUGACUAUAAGCUAAAGCAUGUAAAAUUUACCCUUAAGUUUGACGGUUGAAGAUACCCAAAUACUCCCAUAUUAUUCUUAAUGAUAUGAUCUUGGUAAGUUUUAAAUUUGUUGUCCACUGCAGACACUCCCUGGCAUACGUUAGUCGGCUCUCGGACAAAUAUAGUUGAUCAGACUAUAUUCAUCCCAGUUCCAAUUACAUGUCCCAAGGCACACCUGCACUGCACAAUUUAUUUAUAACACUUCUAUAUUGAUCUCUUUAUGACAAUGUUAUUAAUAUGAAAUGAAUGCAUGCCUACGUUACAAAAAUUAAACAAAUUUAAUUUUUUUUAAAGUAUGACACUUACUCAGAGUGUUUUUGCCUAGUUGUAUUUAUAGUUGUAUACCAAAAAUGAUUUUGAUAUACUUAAUUCACUAUAAACAUCGCCAUGAUACCAAUCUGUCACACCCCCAAACCAAAAUGGCGGAAAGGUUCGGGGGAGGAGGACAUCAUAUUCAGUAUCAUAACAGUUCGUAGUAAGGAAAGUACUCACCACCAUACAUAUAAAGGUUUCAAAAUGUUUACAUAAUUGUAUUUUUUACAUGUUCAAAAGAUAAAUACAUAAACAUCUUUCAAAAGAAGUAAUUAACGUCAGAGCGUUAAUCCCCAAAAGUUGGUUUCCAAACCUGCUUAGCGGUUUCCUGAGAAUACAAGUUAUUUCAAAGAAAAAGUGCCAACAAUUAAGUUGGUGAGUUCAUAAGCGGUUUUGAGAAAAUGUAUACCAUUCCAAAGUUCGUGCGUUUUCCAAGAAAAUCCCUUAUUUUCUUAUAAAAGUAUGAAAUGCAUAUGAAUGUUCGUGUCGUGAAUUGUAAAUAGUUGUACCAGGAAAAUCCCUUAUUUUCCUAUUAGUUGAUUGUUUUGGAUACAGGAAAAUCCCUUAUUUUCCUAAAGUAACAGCCAGUCUCU